rnacentral:rRNA from 1 species
GACAGAGGGUGCGAACGUUGUUCGGAAUUACUGGGCGUAAAGCGUGUGUAGGCGGCCAAGAAAGUCGGAUGUGAAAGCCCUGGGCUCAACCCAGGAAGUGCACCCGAUACUGCUUGGCUAGAGUACCGGAGAGGUUGGUGGAAUUCUCGGUGUAGAGGUGAAAUUCGUAGAUAUCGAGAGGAACACCGGUGGCGAAGGCGGCCAACUGGACGAAUACUGACGCUGAGACACGAAAGCGUGGGGAGCAAACAGG